rnacentral:rRNA from 1 species
GACAGAGGAUGCAAGCGUUAUCCGGAAUCAUUGGGUUUAAAGGGUCCGCAGGCGGUUCUAUAAGUCAGUGGUGAAAUCUCUCGGCUCAACCGAGAAACUGCCAUUGAUACUGUAGGACUUGAAUUCGGUCGAAGUGGGCGGAAUAUGACAUGUAGCGGUGAAAUGCUUAGAUAUGUCAUAGAACACCGAUAGCGAAGGCAGCUCACUAGGCCUGGAUUGACGCUCAGGGACGAAAGGCGUGG